rnacentral:rRNA from 1 species
UACGUAGGGGGCAAGCGUUGUCCGGAUUUAUUGGGCGUAAAGAGCGUGUAGGCGGCCAGGCAGGUCCGCUGUGAAAACUCGAGGCUCAACCUCGAGAGGUCGGUGGAAACCGUUUGGCUAGAGUCCGGAAGAGGGGAGUGGAAUUCCCGGUGUAGCGGUGAAAUGCGCAGAUAUCGGGAAGAACACCCGUGGCGAAGGCGGCUCUCUGGGACGGUACUGACGCUGAGACGCGAAAGCGUGGGGAGCGAAUAGGG